GACGAACGCUGGCGGCAGGCCUAACACAUGCAAGUCGAGCGAGCGGCGGACGGGUGAGUAAUGUAUGGGGACUGCCCGAUCGAGGGGGAUAACUACUGGAAACGGUAGCUAAUACCGCAUACUAUCGGAUAACCCAUAUGGGAUUAGCGAGUUGGUGAGGUAAUGGCUCACCAAGGCGACGCUCCCUAGCUGGUCUGAGAGGAUGAUCAGCCACACUGGGAAUGAGACACGGCCCAGACUCCUACGGAGGCAGCAGUGGGGAAGAUUGCACAAUGGGCGCAAGCCUGAUGCAGCCCUGCCGCGUGUAUGAAGAAGGCCCUAGGGUUGUAAAGUACUUUCAGUCGGGAGGCGUUACCGUCAGAAGAAGCACCGGCUAACUCCGUGCCAGCCGCCGCGGUAAUUC
rnacentral:rRNA from 1 species